rnacentral:rRNA from 1 species
GACGAACGCUGGCGGCGUGCUUAACACAUGCAAGUCGAACGGAGAGGCCCUGCUUUUGUUGUGUGCUCGAGUGGCGAACGGGUGAGUAACACGUGAGUAACCUGCCCUUGACUUUGGGAUAACUUCAGGAAACUGUGGCUAAUACCGGAUAGGAGCUCCUGCUGCAUGGUGUUGGUUGGAAAGGUUCGGCGGUUGGGGAUGGACUCGCGGCUUAUCAGCUUGUUGGUGGGGUAGUGGCUUACCAAGGCUUUGACGGGUAGCCGGCCUGAGAGGGUGACCGGCCACAUUGGGAUUGAGAUACGGGCAAGAGUCCUACGGGAGGCAGGAGUGGGGAAUAGUGCACAAUGGGCGGAAGCCUGAUGCAGCAACGCCGCGUGCGGGAUGACGGUCUUCGGGGUGUAACCCGUUUUAGACUGUGACGAAGAGUGAGUGACGGUAAUGGGUAAAGAAGCACCGGCUAACUACGUG